CCUCCUGGUAGCCGCCGCGCGCUGCUUCACAGUUCACAGUUCACACCACCAGUCGGGAAUCAAGACACACACGGCCUGUUGCCUCUCGUGUUUCCAUCCGCAGGCGGCGACUCCAACACAAUGUCUUGUGAAGCCAACCUAUUCUCUAACGGCUAGCUGCUGCUACUCUCGCCAAGGCUGGAACCAGAACCUUCGUCUCUUCCUUGGUGCUAUAUCUAAGUUAGCUGCUAAUGGGAUAGUCAUAUACGGACCGGAUACGAUGGACUGGAUUUCAACUGGGUGGACAGAACGGACAUGACUCGGAGACAUGGUGGCAGAAAAAAAA